GAUGGCCACAUCAUGUUGAAACACUGGUCCUCAUAUGAUCACUGAAGUUAAGUAACAUUGAGCCUGGUCAGUACUUAGAUGGGUGAAUACUUGGGAAUACCAUGUUCUGU